rnacentral:rRNA from 1 species
GGCCAGACUCCUACGGGAGGCAGCAGUGGGGAAUAUUGCACAAUGGGGGAAACCCUGAUGCAGCGACGCCGCGUGAGCGAUGAAGUAUUUCGGUAUGUAAAGCUCUAUCAGCAGGGAAGAAAUGACGGUACCUGACUAAGAAGCCCCGGCUAACUACGUGCCAGCAGCCGCGGUAAUACGUAGGGGGCAAGCGUUAUCCGGAUUUACUGGGUGUAAAGGGAGCGUAGACGGCAAUGCAAGUCUGGAGUGAAAGGCGGGGGCCCAACCCCCGGACUGCUCUGGAAACUGUAUAGCUGGAGUGCAGGAGAGGUAAGUGGAAUUCCUAGUGUAGCGGUGAAAUGCGUAGAUAUUAGGAGGAACACCAGUGGCGAAGGCGGCUUACUGGACUGUAACUGACGCUGAGGCACGAAAGUGUGGGGAGCAAACAGGAUUAGAUACCCUAGUAA